AAAACCAUAUCUCUUCUCUCUUUCUCUCUCUAAAACCCAAAACACAUAACUAACAGAGAGAGAUUAGAUACUAGCAACGACAAUGGCCACACCGGUGAGAAAGCCUCGCCGCGACACCGCCGACAUGCUGACGUGGCAAGAGGUCCCCCGCUCCGACUCUCCCGCCACCGCCUCCUCCGCUCACCGCUCUCACCAGCCGUCGGAUGGGAUCAGCAAGGUGCUCCACGGCGGUCAGAUCACCGAGGAAGAAGCUCAGAGCCUGAA